rnacentral:rRNA from 1 species
AUACGGAGGGUGCAAGCGUUAUUCGGAAUCACUGGGCGUAAAGGACGCAUAGGCGGGUUGGCAAGUCAGAUGUGAAAUCCUACAGCUUAACUGUAGAACUGCAUUUGAAACUGCUAACCUAGAGUAUGGGAGGGGGAGAUGGAAUUAGUGGUGUAGGGGUAAAAUCCGUAGAUAUCACUAGGAAUACCGAAAGCGAAGGCGAUCUCCUGGAACAUAACUGACGCUAAGGCGUGAAAGCGUGGGGAGCAAACAGGAUUAGAUACCCUAGUAGUCC